rnacentral:rRNA from 1 species
CGCCAGACUCCUACGGGAGGCAGCAGUGGGGAAUAUUGCACAAUGGGGGAAACCCUGAUGCAGCGACGCCGCGUGAGCGAUGAAGUAUUUCGGUAUGUAAAGCUCUAUCAGCAGGGAAGAGAAUGACGGUACCUGACUAAGAAGCCCCGGCUAACUACGUGCCAGCAGCCGCGGUAAUACGUAGGGGGCAAGCGUUAUCCGGAUUUACUGGGUGUAAAGGGAGCGUAGACGGCUGUGCAAGCCAGAUGUGAAAGCCCGGGGCUCAACCCCGGGACUGCAUUUGGAACUGUGUGGCUGGAGUGUCGGAGAGGCAGGCGGAAUUCCUAGUGUAGCGGUGAAAUGCGUAGAUAUUAGGAGGAACACCAGUGGCGAAGGCGGCCUGCUGGACGAUGACUGACGUUGAGGCUCGAAAGCGUGGGGAGCAAACAGGAUUAGAUACCCUGGUA